rnacentral:rRNA from 1 species
GAUGAACGCUGGCGGCGUGCCUAAUACAUGCAAGUCGAGCGAACGGACGAGAAGCUUGCUUUUCUGAUGUUAGCGGCGGACGGGUGAGUAACACGUGGAUAACCUACCUAUAAGACUGGGAUAACUUCGGGAAACCGGAGCUAAUACCGGAUAAUAUUUUGAACCGCAUGGUUCAACAGUGAAAGACGGUCUUGCUGUCCCUUAUAGAUGGAACCGCGCUGCAUUAGCUAGUUGGUAGGGUAACGGCUUACCAAGGCAACGAUGCAUAGCCGACCUGAGAGGAUGAUCGGCCACACUGGAACUGAGACACGGUCCAGACUCCUACGGGAGGCAGCAGUAGGGAAUCUUCCGCAAUGGGCGAAAGCCUGACGGAGCAACGCCGCGUGUGUGAUGAAGGUCUUCGGAUCGUAAAACACUGUUAUUAGGGAAGAACAUAUGUGUGAGUAACUCUGCACAUCUUGACGGUACCUAAUCAGAAAGCCCCGGCUAACUACGUG